UUAUUGAAACUUCGGUCGAUUUAAUUUAAUUCUAGUGGCGGACGGGUGAGUAACGCGUGGGUAACCUGCCUUAUACAGGGGGAUAACAGUCAGAAAUGGCUGCUAAUACCGCAUAAGCGCACAGAGCUGCAUGGCUCAGUGUGAAAAACUCCGGUGGUAUAAGAUGGACCCGCGUUGGAUUAGCUUGUUGGUGGGGUAACGGCCCACCAAGGCGACGAUCCAUAGCCGGCCUGAGAGGGUGAACGGCCACAUUGGGACUGAGACACGGCCCAGACUCCUACGGGAGGCAGCAGUGGGGAAUAUUGCACAAUGGGGGAAACCCUGAUGCAGCGACGCCGCGUGAAGGAAGAAGUAUCUCGGUAUGUAAACUUCUAUCAGCAGGGAAGAUAGUGACGGUACCUGACUAAGAAGCCCCGGCUAACUACGUGCCAGCAGCCGCGGUAAUACGUAGGGGGCAAGCGUUAUCCGGAUUUACUGGGUGUAAAGGGAGCGUAGACGGUGUGGCAAGUCUGAUGUGAAAGGCAUGGGCUCAACCUGUGGACUGCAUUGGAAACUGUCAUACUAGAGUGUCGGAGGGGUAAGUGGAAUUCCUAGUGUAGCGGUGAAAUGCGUAGAUAUUAGGAGGAACACCA
rnacentral:rRNA from 1 species